GGGGUUGUAGCUCAGUGGUAGAGUGCUUACCUAGCAUGUGUGAGGCACUGGGUUUGAUUCUCAGCACCGCA
rnacentral:tRNA from 1 species